UAAUCUCCAUGUGUUUGUGUUUCUUACACUUUUGUUCUUGUAAUUUAUAUCUAGUUUUAUAGCACUGUGGUCGGAGAAGAUGCUUGAUACAAUUUCAAUUUUAUUAAAUUUAUGGUGGUUGGAUUUGUGACCCCAGAUGUGGUCUACCUUGGAGAAUUUCCAUGUGCACUUGAGAAGAAGUUCAGUUCAGUUCAGUCGCUCAGUCCUGUCUGACUCUUUGCGACC